UGGCGUUUGGACGUGUUUCGGAAGAAUUGGUGGUAACGGCGAGGUUUGUGAACCCAUAACACUGUUCAGGGUACAUUCAUAUAUGACAGUGAGGGUGCAUCCCAUCAUCAUCAUUAGGGGAGAAGUGGUGAAUAGUGAGACAAAGCUACAUACAUAUACAUACGCACAUAAAAGCAAAUGAUUACAAUUGUGUACACACACCAAAAGCAAUAAUGAUACAAGAAUAGUUUGCAGUGCAAGAAAAUAAAAGAUAAAAGUAAGUGUUAAAAGUUGAGUGGAGUCAGCAACGAAUGUGCAACACAAAAUACAUACAACAAAAAGGAGAGAAAAAAAAUCUAGAAACGACAACGGUAGUGUGGCAAAGUGGCAAGUUGGCCUUUUCGUCUUACCGGUUUUUUGACAUCAACACAUACAUACAUACAAACAAACAAACCCAUACAGAUGUGGUGUGUAUUUACACAUAUACAUACUUAUGUUUGCUUGUAACUUGGCUUGUUUGGUAAAUAUUUGUGUAUAAAUUGUGCGUCCAAACGCGUUUAUUGCGCCAACAGCGCUGCCAGCAUUGGCGCUAACAUUAUUAACGUUGACUUUGCGGUCGUUGUGUUGCUUUGAGCCAUUCGAAAAUGUAUCUGUGUAUAUAAAUAUUUCGUUGCGACAGCUGUAUGUAUUUGUUUGCGCGUAUAAGUGUUAGUGUUGGCUUGCUUGUAAACGUUUUUGGAUUGAAGUUGGCUUUUUGAUCUUUGUGGGCCGACUUUGAGUGUAUCUUGUCUCUGGCUAGCUCGCAAUUUUUUGUGGCUUUUGAAGCCUUUUUUUAUUCACGAAUACAGUGUGCUUUGUGUGUGAAUUUGAGAAAAUCCAAACUUAAGCUUACAGAAGCGAGCAUAGUUGUGGAGCAACAAUAACAACAAAUAGCAAAAGAAAAAAAUAAAAGUAAUAUAUGAAAUAAAAAAAUAUAUACAUACAUACAUAAAUAUCACAGGCCAAGUCGUCGUUUGGCUACAAAUACAGUUGUUGUGCAAUUCACGAGAUUAACGUCAAGUAUUUGUGUUGACCGUUUGGCAUGGAUAAGAAGCAUUUGUUGUGAAAGCCCCAAAUAUACAUAUAUAUAUAUGUAUGAACAUAGAUACAUAUCGAAUCAAUAAAAAAAAAAUAUCUGACGUAGUGAAUUACGAAUUCAAACCAGAAGCAAACGUAAAAGUAAGCCAAUAUAUUGGUCUACUCAUAAAUUUAGUGUGAAAAGUAUCUAAUUUGAAAAAGUUUUGCAAAGUGUUAAAAAAGUAAUUAAAAAAAAAGUAUAUAAAAGAAGAACAUAAUAGUUUAUUAGUGAAACUUUCCGUGUGUUUUUCUGAUUAUAAGCGCGCUAAGCCUGCCUCUACAUACAUACAUACAUACAAAAUAACGACUAGGUACAAGGCGCAUCGCAAAUUUCCUUCGUCUGUUGGCGUACUAAAGCAAAAAUAACAAUCUGUGGGCGCGCAUGUGCGUAUGUUUGUGUUUUUGAAUAUUUAUGUAUAAGCGGUAAAAGUGUUUGCAAAGUCUAGUAUAAAAAAAAAUUACUGGUACUUGCGGAUUAAGUUGGAAUGAAAAUUUUACGAAACUUUUAAUCCUGAAUCAAUUGUUAGGUAACCCCCAAUUUAGUCCGAAGGAUAAUUCAGUGCAAAAAGGAAUGAUUAUGACAUGCGGCUAUAAUAACUAUAUGCCACAAAAUGUUGAAAUUUGCAUCACAGCAACACAAUAAAUUACAUGUAACCACUUCCAGUAUAAAAGCCAAGAUGCCAACGUCAGCGAAUUACGCGCAACAAAUGCGAAUUUAAUAAACGCUGCGCGGAACGGUGGAGGUUCGACUGACUGAGUGGUGAAACGCGAACCACGCCACUUUACACCACCACCUACACAACACAACGCCGCACUCGACAUUUAGGUGCUUUGCACACGCUAACGGCGUACAAACAUUUAAAUAUCAAGCAAACAUACAAGUAGCAGAAAAUGUUAGUCGGAACAGCGCGCCAGCGGAAAAUUUCAUUUAAUAGUUGUUAUAAUAGUGGCAGCGGUAGAAGUGGAAUUAAAGCCAGAAAGGACGACGACGGCGCUAGCUGUAGUGGAAGCUGCGAAAAUGAAUACAGCAGCAGCGCAUAUAGUUAUUGCAUUGUGCGCUUCAACGCGCUGCCAUCGCUCUGCACAAUCUUGCUACUGCUGCUUCUUUCCACCGCACAACUGUUGCACUUAGCGCACGCUUAUCUGAUCAUUGUGCAUGAGGACGUGCCUGCGGGUGCAGUGGUUUUUAAUGCCUCCGUCUACAAGCUCGGCUCGGAGCGACAUUAUAAAAUUAACGCACAUAAAUCAGCGCACUUUGUACACCAUCUGGUCGCCGUCAAUCACAAAGAUGGUCAAAUACAGUUACGCAAGCAACUCAAGUGCGAUGGCAUCUACUACCCCAACCUAUUUACCUUCUAUGUGGACUCGACGUCGAAUCGGCUGCGCAGCAUUGACUACUACAGCCUGCCGGUGCGAAUAUUUGUAACGGGGCGGGAUUGCAAUGAAGAUCGGCGCAUAGAGGAAGAGAUGCAUAGUAGGCACUAUGAGGAGGAAGAAACGGGGUACUCGAAACGCCGCAGACGCUACGUGGACACGAUAGCGCACCCCGAUUUGCGCUACUUCGGCGCCUAUCUAGCGCAUCCGAGAAACAAUGUGGAUCUUUUGCCGGCGAGCAGCGAGUCGGAUGUACUCAAUCACAACAAUAGUCGACAUGAGUUUCGUGAUGGUGAUCUGAUAUUUGGCGACAAUUUCGACAAUGAAAUGCGUCAUCGCAUACUCAGCCGCAAGCGUCGCGCGAAGCAACAGCUACAACUCGAACCGUCACUGCACCGCCGCAUCUCCGAUGCCAAGCAAUGGAUCUCGGAAACGUACGCCUCCUAUGCCAUACACACAACGGACAAAUGGAAUCAAAUCUGCUUGCGUCAGUCACAGUUCAUCAACAAUCUCAAUGCCUUCUUGCCAAAGUCCAUUUGCCAGUACUGCAAAGUGAACUUUUUGGACGUGAAUGACGAACGCUUUGCCAUCGAGCAUCAAAAUCACGAUUUGGUGGCGAGUCGUGACGUCUGCAUACACGAGUCCAUGUGGAAGGUGAGCAUAACUUUCAACAUACGCUGCACACGCCCGGAAAUCGUAGACUCUGAUCAUCGCCUCAAGAUCGUCUAUCACUACCAGGAAUUCAAUGACACCGAUAUAGCAAAGCGAGUACGCCGCGAGCUGCGUAAUCAGUCGCCUUAUUUUGAACAGGCACUUUAUGUGGCAUCAGUGCUGGAAGAGCAGCCGGCCGGUUCGGCUGUGACAACAGUGCGCGCGCGUGACCCCGAAGACUCGCCGGUGGUGUACUCGAUGGUAUCUUUGCUGGACUCACGUUCGCAGUCGCUCUUUAAGGUAGACUCGCGCACUGGUGUGGUCACGACUUCGGCGAGUUUGGAUCGUGAGCUUAUGGAUGUCCAUUAUUUUCGUGUGGUUGCGACAGACGAUAGUUUUCCGCCACGCUCGGGCACGACGACGCUGCAAGUGAACGUGCUCGACUGCAAUGAUCAUAGUCCGACUUUCGAGGCUGAGCAGUUCGAAGCGAGUAUACGCGAAGGUGCGACAGUUGGUUCGACGGUGAUCACUUUGCGGGCUACGGAUCAGGAUAUCGGAAAAAAUGCGGAGAUCGAGUAUGGCAUAGAGAGUGUGACUGAUGGCUCUGGCACUUUACAGGACCAGGAAAUGCCGAUAUUUCGCAUCGAUGCACGCUCAGGUGUCAUUUCCACCCGCAGCGCACUCGACCGCGAGACCUCGGAUAGCUAUAAUCUCAUCGUCACCGCUUCGGACAUGGCUUCAGCACAGAGCGAACGCAAAACCGCCACCGCUACAGUAAUCGUGAAAAUCUUAGACGACAACGACAACUAUCCGCAAUUCAGCGAGCGCACCUACACAGUGCAAGUGCCCGAGGAUCAGUGGGGUGAUGAUAAUGUGGUGGCGCACAUUCGCGCCACUGACGCUGACCAGAGCAACAAUGCGGCCAUACGUUAUGCCAUUAUUGGCGGCAAUACGCAAUCCCAGUUCUCGAUUGAUUCCAUGAGUGGUGAUGUGACUCUUGUCAAGCCGCUGGACUAUGAGAGCGUGCGCAGUUAUCGUCUGGUGAUACGCGCACAGGAUGGCGGCAGUCCAUCGCGCAGCAACACCACACAGCUUCUGGUGAAUGUGAUUGAUACGAAUGAUAAUGCGCCGCGCUUCUACACCUCACAAUUUCAAGAGUCAGUGCUGGAGAAUGUGCCAGUAGGCUAUAAUAUAAUACGCGUGCAAGCUUAUGAUGCGGAUGAGGGCGCCAAUGCGGAGAUCAUUUACAGCAUUUCUGAGCGCGACGACAACUUUCCGCUGGCUGUCGAUCCGCGCACUGGCUGGGUGCAGACAAUCAAGCAACUAGAUCGCGAGGAGCAAAGUCGCUUCACUUUUCAAGUUGUAGCUAAAGAUGGUGGCGUGCCGCCCAAGUCAGCGAGCUCGACUGUGGUGAUAACGGUUCAAGAUGUAAACGACAACGAUCCCACAUUCAAUCCAAAAUAUUAUGAAGCCAAUGUGGGUGAGGAUCAACCGCCUGGCACGCCUGUGGUAACUGUUACAGCCACUGAUCCGGAUGAGGACUCACGCCUGCAUUACGAACUCACUUCGGGAAAUACACGCGGCCGCUUUGCAAUUACUUCACAAAAUGGGCGUGGUCUUAUUACGAUUGCGCAAUCGCUGGACUACAAGCAAGAGAAACGUUUUGUGCUCACUGUUACAGCCACAGAUUCAGGCGGUCGCUCGGACACAGCUACCGUUAAUAUUAAUAUCACAGAUGCCAAUAAUUUCGCGCCAAUAUUCGAGAAUGCACCCUACAGCGCAUCGGUGUUCGAGGAUGCGCCAAUUGGUACGACGGUGUUGGUAGUGUCCGCAACCGACAGCGAUGUGGGCAUCAAUGCGCAGAUCACUUACUCGCUGAAUGAGGAGAGCAUAAAUGGGCUCGGAAGUCCAGAUCCAUUCGCAAUCAAUGCACAAACUGGCGCAAUUGUUACAAGUGCACUGUUGGAUCGCGAGGCGACUAGUGGCUAUCUGCUUACGGUCACCGCAAAGGAUGGUGGCAAUCCGUCGCUAAGUGAUACCACCGAUGUAGAGAUUAGCGUUACCGACGUGAAUGACAAUCCACCCGCAUUCAAGAAUCCACUAUACCAGGCAUCAAUUCUUGAGGAUGCACUAGUCGGCACUUCUGUUAUACAGGUGUCAGCAACGGACCCCGAUAUAGGACUGAAUGGACGCAUCAAGUAUCUGCUGAGCGAUCGCGAUGUAGAGGAUGGCUCAUUUGUCAUCGACCCCACUUCCGGCACAAUACGCACCAACAAGGGCUUAGAUCGCGAGAGUGUCGCCACUUAUCAUCUAACCGCCAUCGCUGUAGACAAGGGCUCGCCACCACUUUCAAGCACCGUGGAAGUGCAGAUACGUUUAGAAGACGUAAACGACUCACCGCCAACAUUCUCCUCGGACAAGAUAACGCUUUACGUGCCGGAAAACUCGCCCGUGGGCUCCGUAGUUGGCGAAAUACAUGCACACGAUCCGGACGAAGGCGUCAAUGCGGUGGUUCACUACUCGAUUAUUGGUGGCGACGACUCGAAUUCCUUUUCAUUGGUCACACGUCCGGGUUCGGAGCGCGCGCAGCUGCUGACUAUGACCGAGCUGGACUAUGAGUCGAAUCGCAAGCGUUUCGAAUUGGUCAUACGCGCGGCUAGCCCGCCGUUGCGCAAUGACGCGCAUGUGGAGAUUUUGGUCACCGAUGUCAACGACAAUGCACCGGUAUUGCGUGACUUCCAAGUAAUCUUCAACAACUUCCGCGAUCACUUUCCAAGUGGAGAGAUCGGCAGAAUACCUGCAUCGGAUGCUGACGUCACUGACAAACUAACAUAUCGCAUACUCUCCGGCAACAAUGCGAAUCUGAUACGAUUGAAUACAACUUCAGGUGGUUUAGUACUUAGCCCGCAAUUGAAUACAAAUGUCCCCAAAUUCGCAACGAUGGAAGUUUCCGUCUCGGAUGGCAUCAAUGAAGCAAAGGCCAUAAUGCAGCUUUCGGUACGCUUGAUCACAGAAGAUAUGUUGUUCAAUUCUGUUACAGUGCGUUUGAAUGAAAUGACCGAGGAGGCAUUCCUGUCGCCGCUGCUUAACUUUUUUCUCGAUGGCCUGGCAGCGAUUAUUCCUUGCCCCAAGGAAAAUAUCUUCAUCUUUUCCAUACAAGACGACACCGAUGUCACGUCGCGCAUCUUGAAUGUGAGCUUCUCCGCUAAACGGCCAGAUGUUUCGCACGAGGAAUUCUACACGCCACAAUAUCUGCAGGAGCGCGUCUACUUAAAUCGUGCCAUACUAGCGCGUCUCGCCACAGUUGAGGUGCUGCCCUUUGACGACAACCUUUGCGUGCGGGAGCCUUGUCUCAAUUUCGAAGAGUGCCUCACCGUGCUCAAGUUCGGUAAUGCCUCAGAGUUCAUACACAGCGACACUGUACUCUUCCGCCCUAUCUAUCCGGUAAAUACUUUUGCGUGUUCGUGUCCCGAAGGCUUCACGGGUAGCAAGGAGCAUUAUUUGUGCGACACAGAGGUGGACCUUUGCUAUUCGGACCCUUGCCGCAACGGCGGUACAUGCGUGCGUCGCGAAGGCGGCUACACCUGCACUUGUUCGCCGAAGCAUACGGGCGUUAACUGUGAAACGGAGAUAUCAACGCUGAAGCCCUGCAUGUCGGAUGCCUGUGACGGCGGUUAUUCCUGCAUGAAUUCCUUUCUAAGCUCACAACCGCCACCGUACACAGCGACGUGUGAGCUGCGCUCACGUUCGUUCUCCAAAAACUCCUUCCUUACCUUCGAGAGCCUCAAACAGCGACAUAGAUUCAACCUGAAAUUACGGUUUUCGACUGUGCACGAUAACGGUUUACUGCUAUACAAUGGGCGUUACAAUGAGCUGCACGACUUCAUUGCACUUGAAAUACUCGAGGGUCAUUUGAGCUUCUCAUACUCGCUGGGCGAUAGUAAACAAAGUGUCUCGGUCGUGCAACAGGCGAAGGUCUCCGAUGGCGAAUGGCACGAUGUUGAGGUGAUAUAUCUGAAUCGGACAGUGACACUUGUACUGGACAAGUGCGACACAGCAAUAGCGCUGGCCGGAAAUUUAGGCGAUCGAUGGAGCUGCGCCAAUCAAACGACCCUAAAGCUAGACAAACGUUGCGCGCUGCUCACCGAAACCUGUCACCGCUUUUUGGACUUGACAGGUCCGCUACAAUUGGGUGGCUUACCACGCAUACCCGCACACUUCCCCGUGGAGAACCAAGAUUUCAUUGGAUGCUUAUCUGACCUGCGCAUCGACGAUCGCUACAUUGAUCUCAACUCGUAUGUAGCCGAUAAUGGCACCAUCUCCGGUUGUCCGCAAAAGUCACCACUCUGCUCGUCGGAACCUUGUUUUAAUGGAGGAGUUUGCCGUGAAGGCUGGAACACUUACACUUGCGAGUGCCCUGAAGGCUAUGCAGGCAAUGCAUGCCAGGAGACCAUACCCGCACCAUGGCGCUUCUCCGGCGAUGGCAGCCUUAGCUUCAAUCCAUUGUUGAGGCCGAUACAACUACCCUGGGUCACCUCACUAUCCAUGCGUACUUUACAGCUGGACGCGUUUCUGCUACAGAUACAAAUUGGGCAAAAUAGCUCUGCGGUACUUUGUCUGAAGAACGGCAUACUCUAUUACAUAUAUGAAAACGAACCAAUGUACUUAGCUGGCGCUUAUCUCUCCGACGGCAACUGGCAUCGUAUCGAGGUUAAAUGGCUUAAUUCGGAAAUACAGUUCUCCGUAGACUACGGGCAACGCAGCGGCGUUGUGCCGAUGUCACAGAAAGUACAAGGGCUCUACGUUGGAAAGAUUGUCAUCGGUAGCGCUGACGGUUCAAUUGGGGCGGUUUUCGAUAUGCUACCCUUCGAAGGCUGCAUUCAAAGUGUGCGCAUUGGCGCCUCUCAAUCUGUGUUGUCGCGUCCAACGAUACGCGAAAAUGUCGAAGACGGCUGCAUGUCGCGUGCAGAAUGUCCGGAAACUUGUCCACCGCAUUCCACAUGCGCGACUACUUGGGACGAAGCGCGUUGUGAGUGCUUACCUGGUUACGUUGGGCCCGAGUGUCUGCCUAUAUGCACCGUCAAACCCUGCGUGGCUGGUGUGUGCCGCGCGAACGUCAGCGAACCACGCGGCUACAAAUGCGAAUGCAACAGUUCCUUGCAGCAUGGUGAAUAUUGUGAGAAGACGGUGCAGCAGCCCUGCCCCGGCGGCUGGUGGGGCGAGAAGGUAUGUGGACCAUGCAAGUGUAACCUGAAGCAGGGAUACCAUCCGGACUGCAAUAAGACCACCGGCCAGUGUUAUUGCAAGACAAACCACUACCAGCCACCAAAUGAGACAGCUUGCAUACCUUGCGACUGCUACUCGAUAGGCUCAUUCAGCGGCGCUUGCAAUCCACUGACAGGUCAGUGUGAGUGUCGCGAGGGUGUGAUAGGACGCCGCUGUGACUCGUGCUCAAAUCCGUAUGCGGAAGUUACACUAAAUGGCUGCGAAGUCGUUUAUGAUGCCUGCCCGCGCUCAUUUGCCGCGGGUAUUUGGUGGCCACGUACUCCGCUCGGCAGCACGACUGUGGAAAAUUGUCCUUCACCGGCCAGAGGCAAGGGACAACGCAACUGCGACGCCAUGUCGGGUGGUUGGAAUCAAGCGGAUAUGUUUAAUUGCACUUCAGAUCCAUUUGUUGAGCUGCGCAAACAACUUUCGCAAUUGGAGAAGCUUGAACUGGAACUCAACUCAUUUGUUGCCAUUAAAAUGGUGGAAAACUUGCAGCAAGCAUGCGAGACUGUAGAUCGCUCGAGCGCUGUGAAAAAGAAAAUUGUAAAGGAUAGUCGGCGUUACAAAAUGGAGUCCUCCUUUCUGCUGAAUGAAGGCAGCAAUAUGUGGUCUAAUGAACUGGAAAUGGACUAUCUUUCCGAUGAGCUAAAGUUUACACACGACCGCCUAUAUGGCGCUGAUCUUCUAGUUACUGAAGGCAUCCUACAGGAGUUGAUCAACUACGAGCUAAUGCAGAACGGCCUGAAUCUGACACAUAGCCAAGACAAGUAUUUCAUUAAGAAUCUAGUGGAUGCCGCAAGCGUCAUAUUGGACCGUAAAUAUGCGAGCGAGUGGAAACGUGCAACCGAGUUGAUACAGCGUGGACCUGACGAUCUUGUGGAUGCAUUCAAUAAGUAUAUGGUAGUGCUAGCCAGCUCACAGCAUGACACAUAUACCAAUCCUUUCGAGAUAGUGCAGCGCAACAUGGUUUUUGCUUUGGAUAUAAUUACAACUGAAUCCCUUUUUGGCUAUGAACCCGAACAGCUUAGUGAAUACCACAAAACAAAACUCAAUCUGAAACCGAAUGCGUACACAACUGAAAGCGUGAUUUUGCCCGACACGAGCGGUUUCCUGCAGCACUCCUCGAAGCAGAAGCCAGUGAUUACCUUCCCCAAGUACAACAAUUACAUACAGGAUAAAACGAAAUUCGAUAAGUACACUAAAGUGUUGAUUCCGCUGGAAAUGUUGGGUAUAACACCGCCCGGCAGCAAUGAAGUCACACAGAAUGCCAUCGAUUACCGCGCCAUCGUUUCCUAUGCGCAGUACAAAGAUGUGGGGCAACUACUGCCAGACCUGUACGACGAGACCAUCACACGUCGCUGGGGUGUCGACGUCGAAGUGGCCUCGCCUAUACUCUCACUCGCCAUUUUAGUACCAUCCAGCGAUACCGAAGAGAAACGCAUAGAGAUACCUUUCCGAAAAAUCUCAUCUCAAAAGACUGGCUCCAACGAACAGCAGUUCAUCGAGGUAUUCGAUGUGCCGAAAACGAGCAGCAGUGGCAGCGAGGAGCACAUGAUUGAGAACAUACGCAUCACAGCGCAUGAAAUACUACCACCAGCUGCGACGAAUUCACAUGAAGCAAGCGCCGAAGUGACAAGCAACGAAGCUGUAGAGGUCGCAGACGACGAAGAGCCACACAUUAGCGUGCGCUUCGACGAUGACAACAUCGAAUUCCACGGUGACACCGGCGAGGAAGUAGUCGAUUCACCUGAGUUGACAAAUCCACAUUUCGAAGCUGGUUCAAGCGAACAGCAAAAAGGUGAGAACGAAGCAAUCUACCGCAGUCGCAGACUGGUCAAGCGCCAGGUAGAAGUCAUCUACCCAUCCGAACAGCAACAAACACAACAGCGCGUCAUCUAUCGUUCGCUGGGCUCUCCACAUCUCUCACAGCCCAUCAAGCUGCAAAUGUGGCUGGACAUUGAUCCAGCGCGCUUUAGUCCACGCUCAAAUCCACAAUGCGUGCGUUGGAACUCAUUCACCAGCCAAUGGACCCGACUGGGUUGUCAAACCGAGGUGCCCGACUUCAAUGAGCUGCCAGUCGAUGGACAACCCAUCAUCGUUAACUGUUCCUGCACGCACGUUUCGAAUUACGCCGUAAUUGUGGACAUCAUUGACCCCGAAGAUAUACCUGAGCCUUCUUUAUUGGUGCAAAUCACAUCCUACUCCGCAUUUAUGGUCUCACUGCCGGUGCUGCUGAGCGUACUCAUUGCUUUGGCGCUGCUGCGUGGUCAACAAACCAAUUCGAAUACCAUACACCAGAAUAUCGUGCUGUGCGUGUUCUGCGCCGAGUUGCUUUUCUUCGUUGGCAUGCAGUCACGUCGCAAUUUGCUUGAAAAUGAAUUCCCCUGCAAGCUUAUAGCGAUUUGCUUGCAUUACUUCUGGCUGGCCGCAUUCGCUUGGACGACCGUCGACUGUGUGCACCUGUAUCGCAUGCUUACCGAGAUGCGUGACAUCAACCAUGGACCAAUGGGAUUCUACUUUGCCAUGGGCUAUGGUGCACCAGCCAUUGUGGUCGGACUUUCGGUGGGCGUGCGGGCGCAUGAGUAUGGAAAUAGUUUGUUCUGUUGGCUUUCCGUAUACGAGCCGGUCGUGUGGUGGCUGGUCGGUCCCAUUGCGGGUAUGUCGGUGGUGAAUCUACUAAUACUGUUUGUAUCUGUGAAAGCUGCAUUCACGCUUAAAGAUCACGUACUCGGUUUUGGCAAUCUACGCACGUUACUUUGGUUAUCUGUCGUCUCGCUGCCCAUGAUGGGCGUCAUGUGGGUGUUGGCUGUGUUGGCUGCUUCCGAGAAUUCGCAGAUGCUGAGCAUCCUCUUGUCCGGUGUGGUAGUGCUGCAUUCCAUUUUCUGUCUCAUUGGCUAUUGUAUUAUAAACAAGCGCGUGAGGGAAAAUUUGCAACGCACCUUCUUGCGUUGUAUGGGACGGAAAGUGCCAUUGUUAGAUUCUUCGCUAGUUGUGAGCAAUAGUUCACAUAAUGUGAAUGGGGCGACGAGACCGAACAAUUUCCUAGCGGGUAGCUACGAUACUGCGCGAAGGAAUGUGGGCAUCAGUGUCUCGAGCACGACCUCCAGGAGUACGGCGAAAACAAGCUCAAGUCCAUAUAGUGAUGGCCAGCUACGCCAGACCUCUACAUCUACCUCGAACUACAACUCGGCCAGCGAUGCACCCAGCUUUCUGCGCGGCUUCGAAUCCUCUACCGGCGGCGGUGGUGGCGGUGCUGGACGCCGUGAAGAAAAAUCUCGUCGUCAUCGCAAAGACUCCGAUUCAGGCUCCGAAACCGAUGGCCGCUCAUUAGAACUCGCUUCUAGCCACUCAAGCGAUGAUGAUGAAUCACGCACCGCGCGAUCCUCGGGCACGCAUCGCAGCACCGGUGUCAGCGCUACCCCCUCAUACCUGCCCAACAUUACCGAGCAUGUGCAAGCAACUACGCCGCCCGAGUUAAAUGUCGUACAAAGUCCACAGCUCUUCCCAAGCGUCAAUAAACCUGUCUACGCGCCGCGUUGGUCGAGUCAAUUGCCUGACGCUUACCUACAGUCGCCGCCGAAUGUGGGACGCUGGUCACAGGAAACUGGUUCCGACAAUGAGCAUGUGCACGGCCAAAAAGUUACCAUCUCACCAAACCCACUGCCAAAUCCAGAUCUCACGGACACCUCCUACCUGCAACAGCAUCAUAACAAAAUCAACAUGCCUCCAUCGAUAUUGGAAAAUCUGCAAAACGUGCGUAAUGAUAAUGGCUAUGAGGCACACGAACGCGACAGUAUUUACCGCCGCAAGGACUACCCGGAUAGUUAUGGACAAUUCGACACACUACCCGUCGCGGGUAACUACAAGCCACCCAGCCACUAUGGCAGUGAGAAGGAGUAUAAUGGCGGCGGCAGUGGUGGUGGUGGUAGUGGCAGCGGCAGUGGUAGUGGUAGCGCUGGCGGCGGCAAUGGUGGCACACAAAUCGUCAACCACAUGCGCUCCUUCCACCCGGAUGCGGCUUAUCUCAGCGAUAGCAUUUAUGACAAACAACGCACACUGGGCUAUAUGGGCCCCAAAGCGGACUCGCCGUAUAUGUCCAAAGAGCGCAUUGCGCCCGAUAUUUAUGGCUCACGCGAAAAUCACUACAGCCUUAAGAAGCCGCAUAUGUAUGUCGGCGCUGCAGACUCAAUGCAUUCAGUGCAUUCAUUACUUAAGAACGACUAUCAGGCGCAGCAGCAGCGUCAACAACACCUACAGCAGCAGCAUCACCACCAGCAACAACACCAACAACAACAUCAACCCAAUUCGGCCGACUAUCACUCGGAUCGCAUGUCAGAGGGUUCGGACAAGAAUGGCUAUCAUUUCCCCUACACCGCGGAGGAGGAUCACAUAACGAGCAAUCGCAAGCUUAGUCAUCAACACAAUCCAUCACCGUCGCUGCACAGCUCGCAUCAAAUGCUUAACGGGCAUGCGCAUGGACAUACGGUGAAUGAUAUGAAUAAUCCUGGUAUGCUGGGGCGGCAUACACUGAAUUCGAGUUCGCGACAUAGUUCGCGCGCCAGUUCGCCUCCUUCGAGCAUUGUGGCGCCCAUGCAGCCGUUGGCGCCGCUCACAAGCAUCACGGAUACAGAGUGGUCAUGGGAACGCCUAAAGAAAAUCUAAUUACAACUUUCUUUAUUUUCCGCUCACAAUAAAUUCAAAUAUGGCAAAAUGCAAAUUGUGCAAUGAAUUGCAAAUAUGGCGGCGAACAAAACCAAACUAAAAAUAAAACAUACAAACAAAUACACACACACAAAUAAAACUGAAAACAUAUCUGUUGGAAAUUGCGUUGCAAUGCGCAAAUAUACAUAUAACGGCCAUAAUACGAAUGCAACAACAACAAUGGUCAUACAUAUUUGCAUACAUAUGUAUGUUCACACUGCAUAUGUUAUCUACCAACAAAUAAUUGUGAAAAAUUUGAAAAAAAUAUCACAAAAAUAUGCAAAAAUAUUGAAUUGCAUGGAAUUGCAUUUGAUGCGCGAAAUUUGAAUAUACUUCUACACUAUUUACCAUAAAAUGACUAAUGGGAAUAAAACAACAAUAACAACAACAAACUGGCUAUGCAACAAAAAUAAUGCGCAUUUGCCAUAAAUGAUCAACUCUGCUCUGAAAUGGAAAAUUUGCAUUCGAAUAUUCAACCGCAACUGCAUGCCAUUUUCGCAACAAACAACCACUACAAAAACAACGAAUGCGUAUUCAAUUAUAUGCCGGCAAAUAAAAAAUUCAAAAAAACAAAACUCGGCUGUUCUUACACUCACGCGAACACAUACAAACACAUUAACUCGCUCAACAACAAUUUCUACCAACUCACAUAACGGACCACCCCCAUACGUUCGGAUGCCCGAGCAAACUCAACUAACAAUACUAAUAUUAUCUAAUGAAAUUUAAUAAAAAUGUUUACUAUUAUUUCCAACAACAACAACCAACAACAAAUCUACAAAUACAUUCACUCGCUCAACUACAAUUAAACUAAACUAUCGUACUACUCCUGUAUGUACUCUCUACAUUUUCAUUCAUCCACAACAACAACAAUGCAGUUCAGAGUUGGACAUUAUAUGGCUGCAUCGCUGGCGGCGCCGAUAUCCCUGGUCUCUGACAAUCUGG